rnacentral:rRNA from 1 species
GACGUAGGGUGCAAGCGUUGUCCGGAUUUAUUGGGCGUAAAGAGCUCGUAGGCGGCUUGUUGCGUCGACUGUGAAAACCCGCGGCUUAACCGCGGGCUUGCAGUUGAUACGGGCAGGCUAGAGUUCGGUAGGGGAGACUGGAAUUCCUGGUGUAGCGGUGAAAUGCGCAGAUAUCAGGAGGAACACCGAUUGCGAAGGCAGCUCGCUGGGACGUAACUGACGCUGAGACGCGAAAGCGUGGGGAGCAAACAGG